UACGGAGGGUGCGAGCGUUAUCCGGAAUUACUGGGUUUUAAGGGUGCGUAGGCGGCCAGGUAAGUCAGGAGUGAAAGUUUGCGGCUCAACCGUAAAAUUGCUUUUGAUACUGCCAGGCUAGAAUAGGGAUGAGGUCAGCGGAAUGUGGCAUGUAGCGGUGAAAUGCAUAGAUAUGCCAUAGAACACCAAUUGCGAAGGCAGCUGGCUAGGCCUGGAUUGACGCUGAGGCGCGAAAGCGUGGGGAGCGAACAGG
rnacentral:rRNA from 1 species